CCUACGGGAGGCUGUAGUGGGGAAUAUUGGACAAUGGGGGGAACCCUGAUCCAGCCAUGCCGCGUGUGUGAAGAAGGCCCUCGGGUUGUAAAGCACUUUCAGUGAGGAAGAACGCCUGGUGGUUAAUACCCAUCAGGAAAGACAUCACUCACAGAAGAAGUACCGGCUAACUCCGUGCCAGCAGCCGCGGUAAUACGGAGGGUGCGAGCGUUAAUCGGAAUUACUGGGCGUAAAGCGCGCGUAGGUGGCUUGAUAAGCCGGUUGUGAAAGCCCCGGGCUCAACCUGGGAACGGCAUCCGGAACUGUCAAGCUAGAGUGCAGGAGAGGAAGGUAGAAUUCCCGGUGUAGCGGUGAAAUGCGUAGAGAUCGGGAGGAAUACCAGUGGCGAAGGCGGCCUUCUGGACUGACACUGACACUGAGGUGCGAAAGCGUGGGUAGCAAACAGGAUUAGAUACCCCUGUAGUC
rnacentral:rRNA from 1 species